rnacentral:rRNA from 1 species
UACGGAGGGGGCUAGCGUUGUUCGGAAUUACUGGGCGUAAAGCGCACGUAGGCGGCUUUGUAAGUUAGAGGUGAAAGCCCGGGGCUCAACUCCGGAAUUGCCUUUAAGACUGCAUCGCUAGAAUUGUGGAGAGGUGAGUGGAAUUCCCAGUGUAGAGGUGAAAUUCGUAGAUAUUGGGAAGAACACCGGUGGCGAAGGCGGCUCACUGGCUCGUAUCUGACGCUCAGGCGCGACAGCGUGGGGAUCAAACAGG